rnacentral:rRNA from 1 species
GUCGAACGGAUUAUUCUUUAUAGCUUGCUAUAAAGAUAAUUAGUGGCAGACGGGUGAGUAAUGCAUAGGAAUCUACCUAGUAGUAUAGGAUAGCCACUAGAAAUGGUGGGUAAUACUGUAUAAUCCCUGCGGGGGAAAGAUUUAUCGCUACAUGAUGAGCCUAUGUUAGAUUAGCUAGUUGGUAGGGUAAAGGCCUACCAAGGCGAUGAUCUAUAGCUGGUCUGAGAGGAUGAUCAGCCACACUGGAACUGAGAUACGGUCCAGACUCCUACGGGAGGCAGCAGUGGGGAAUAUUGGACAAUGGGCGCAAGCCUGAUCCAGCUAUGCCGCGUGAGUGAGGAAGGCCUUAGGGUUGUAAAACUCUUUCAGUAGGGAAGAUAAUGACGGUACCUACAGAAGAAGUCCCGGCAAACUCCGUGCCAGCAGCCGCGGUAAUACGGAGGGGGCAAGCGUUGUUCGGAAUUAUUGGGCGUAAAGGGCAUGUAGGCGGUUCGGUAAGUUAAAGGUGAAAUGCCAGGGCUUAACCCUGGAGCUGCUUUUAAUACUGCCAGACUUGAGUCCGGAAGAGGAUAGCGGAAUUCCUAGUGUAGAGGUGAAAUUCGUAGAUAUUAGGAGGAACACCAGUGGCGAAGGCGGCUAUCUGGUCCGGUACUGACGCUGAGGUGCGAAAGCGUGGGGAGCAAACAGGAUUAGAUACCCCGGUAGUCCACGCCGUAAACGAUGAGUGCUGAAUGUGGGGAUAAUUUAUCUCCGUGUUGUAGCUAACGCGUUAAGCACUCCGCCUGGGGACUACGGUCGCAAGACUAAAACUCAAAGGAAUUGACGGGGACCCGCACAAGCGGUGGAGCAUGUGGUUUAAUUCGAUGCAACGCGAAAAACCUUACCACUCCUUGACAUGGAGAUUAGAUCCUUCUUAACGGAAGGG